rnacentral:rRNA from 1 species
AUACGUAGGGUGCGAGCGUUGUCCGGAAUUACUGGGCGUAAAGGGCUCGUAGGUGGUUUGUCGCGUCGUCUGUGAAAUUCCGGGGCUUAACUCCGGGCGUGCAGGCGAUACGGGCAUAACUCGAGUACUGUAGGGGUAACUGGAAUUCCUGGUGUAGCGGUGAAAUGCGCAGAUAUCAGGAGGAACACCGAUGGCGAAGGCAGGUUACUGGGCAGUUACUGACGCUGAGGAGCGAAAGCAUGGGUAGC